GAUGAACGCUGGCGGCGUGCCUAAUACAUGCAAGUCGAGCGAACAGACGAGGAGCUUGCUCCUCUGACGUUAGCGGCGGACGGGUGAGUAACACGUGGAUAACCUACCUAUAAGACUGGGAUAACUUCGGGAAACCGGAGCUAAUACCGGAUAAUAUCUUGAACCGCAUGGUUCAAUAGUGAAAGACGGUUUUGCUGUCACUUAUAGAUGGAUCCGCGCCGCAUUAGCUAGUUGGUAAGGUAACGGCUUACCAAGGCAACGAUGCGUAGCCGACCUGAGAGGGUGAUAGGCCACACUGGAACUGGGACACGGUCCAGACUCCUAAGGGAGGCAGCAGUAGGGAAUCUGCCGCAAUGGGCGAAAGCCUGACGGAGCAACGCCGCGUGAGUGAUGAAGGUCUUCGGAUCGUAAAACUCUGUUAUUAGGGAAGAACAAAUGUGUAAGUAACUAUGCACGUCUUGACGGUACCUAAUCAGAAAGCCACGGCUAACUACGUG
rnacentral:rRNA from 1 species